rnacentral:lncRNA from 10 species
GUGCAAAAAAAAAGACCUGUCCAAAACUGAAAAGUAUAUAUGGAGACAUCGCAGAGCAGCAAGAGAAGCAGGAAUGGACCAGACACGAAGGGCCACCAGGCUGAAGGGCUGGGCUGUGUCCUGGGGGGACUGGGAAGCCAUGGGAGGGCUGUGAGCAGGAGAGGAGCCGGGCAGCUCUGGGGGACAGAGUGAAUUCCAGGAGGCCCAGAAAGAAGCUUGGGAGAGGGUCCACGCCAAGACAAUAGAGAAUGAAGAUGCUUACCUGGUGGGAGGAGCAUCAGAGUCCCAAGGCCAAAGAAGGCUUGCCCCUUAAGAAACCAGAGCUGCUGGAGGAAACAGAAGUACCCAAAAUGCCUGAAGCUGACACCCCACCAGACCGGGCUGGAGUCUAGGGCUCUGGAGAGAAAGAAGAGUGUAGACUCCGAGAUGGAUCACGGCAUGCGGCCCAGGACGUGGAAACCUGGCCCAGGCAGAGGUGCGACUCCAUCCCAGACUCCAGACCCAGAGGCCGUCGCCCGGCUCUCACCCAUUUCCUGGGGAAACAUGCCCCGGGGCCUCCCCAGCGCCAGCCCUCAUGUUAGCCAAUGUAGGGGACACGCCUAACACCUGACACCUGCCCAAGGGACACGCCACCCCAGCAGCCAGGCUGACAGGAGCAGAAACAAAACACACAGGGAUACGCCAGGCGGGCAGCACCAGGAAACAGGCUGCUGCCGCCACAGGGGCCGCUGUGAGCCCAGAAUGGAUCCAACCCAGCCUCAGCCUUCUUCAGAGAGAGAAACUGAAGCAUGCUCAGCACGAUGGGAAGUGGCUGAAACCCUGAAGAACCCCCAAGAGCACAUCCACGGAGACACUGGGAACCAUGAGGCCCCAGCCUCUGCACAUCUGCAUUGCAAACAGGGAAACUGAGGCUCACCGUGCCUCGGGCCACACUGCAAGGCUGUGCACUGCUCAGGACUCCGGAACCCGGGACCCUUGUCCCCCGCUGCAGCAGCUGACCCUGUCCUGGACAUUUUCUCCUGACUUUAUGAGACUCUAGUGCAGAGGUUGCAAACUCAGAUGCUCACAGCCACCAGGCAGGGAACAAGAGGGGCACAGUUGGCCUAAUGGGGGCCGUGUCUGUCUUGAAAGCAGCUGCCCCUCCUGAAGGCGGCGGCUCACAGUGGCGGAACUCCCUCCGACUCCUCCCCACCCCCUCCCCACAGGUCAGGAACACGGGGAGACUACAGCUAGCUCUUCAUAUUUUUUUUUGUUUGUCUUUUGAGGAGAAUCCAGAGAUCUCGAUUUCAGUGUGAAAUAUCUUGAUUCCGGCACAUUAGCAAUUGAGAACAUGUUUUUAAAAGGCAGCGCCGCGUGGGUCAAAGAAAAACCCUGAUGAGCCUUCUCAUUUGCAAACUCAGAUCAGAGGCAUAGAUGUGGAGGGGACUCCUGCUCCCUGAACACCCUUCCUGCCCACAGCAGGCGGGGUUAUUCAGAACGCAGACGCUUUGCCAAGGGCAACAAGAAUCCCCAGGUUCUGGGAGGAAGCUUGUGUGUGGAAGAGUAAGGAGGGAUUUCUAGGUAGAGAAAAACAUUCCAGGUGUUCACUCAUGUCACUCAUGUGGCCACAAAUCCCCGGAGGCCUCCUGUGUGCCAGGCCGCGGGCUGGGGACAAAGAGAAGUCAGACCCAGGUCCUGCCCAUAAGACCUCCAGGUUGUUA